UAGGGAAUCUUCCACAAUGGACGCAAGUCUGAUGGAGCAACGCCGCGUGAGUGAAGAAGGUUUUCGGAUCGUAAAGCUCUGUUGUUGGUGAAGAAGGAUAGAGGCAGUAACUGGUCUUUAUUUGACGGUAAUCAACCAGAAAGUCACGGCUAACUACGUGCCAGCAGCCGCGGUAAUACGUAGGUGGCAAGCGUUGUCCGGAUUUAUUGGGCGUAAAGCGAGCGCAGGCGGAAUGAUAAGUCUGAUGUGAAAGCCCACGGCUCAACCGGGGAACUGCAUCGGAAACUGUCAUUCUUGAGUGCAGAAGAGGAGAGUGGAAUUCCAUGUGUAGCGGUGGAAUGCGUAGAUAUAUGGCAGAACACCAGUGGCGAAGGCGGCUCUCUGGUCUGCAACUGACGCUGAGGCUCGAAAGCAUGGGUAGCGAACAGG
rnacentral:rRNA from 1 species